CAGACCUCUAAUCGGAAAAGACUACCCGCUGAGUUUA
rnacentral:rRNA from 14 species